UGCAAAAGUGAUCCAAGAUCAGCAUCUAGGGGCAGGUUCUUAGUACCAAUUGCGAUCAGCGUGAAACUGACACAGGCAGUACAGCAGUGGAAGACAAUAUGAUCGCCUCCUUAAUUCUAUUCCUCAAACCCACGACGCCCCAGAGAGUCACUGUGGGAUCAGAACCCUGGUACACCACAAAGAACCGGUGGUCAUUUUAGUGGAAGUGUGAGAAGAGAGCCUGCUUAAUCUGUGUAGUGCAGGUGUGGCCAUGCUAUGCUUCCGCCUCCAUCUGAAAUGAUCACACCAACAUCUGGCCCAUUUUCAGCCUGGCAGCCUUUCCUCAGUCAAAUAAAAGCCUAAAUGUACACGGAGACAGUAGAAACGUGCACGGUGCACCCGUCCAUUAUUAUUUCCUCAUUUGGAAAAUAUCACAGGCAUUAUAGCUGAGAUUGAAAAGGACAGCCUUCCCGAACUAUGACCCAGCAUACGCUAAAGGGAAGCUAAAAGCUUCAGCGGCAGCAUCAGUUACCCCUGUUUGAAUUUGAUUACUGCAUAAUUCAGUGGGCACAGCUCUGAGCCCUACCGCCACUCAGUGCUCUAUCAGCAUGCAUCCAUCAUUAGCCUUAUCCACAGAUCGGUUGGGCCUUUGUGAGUCAUCCACUGUGUCCCAAAUGGCACCCGAUUCCCGAAGUAGUGCACUGUAUAGGACAUAGUGUUUCAUUUGGGAUUCACCCAUCAUCACAGCCUGCCUAAUCUGCCACAGGAGCCUUAACUCACCCUGCCGAGGCUUCGAGGUGACACGUUUGAGCGAAUAGGUUUUUUAGGGUUUGUGUUAAUGGUGGUUAAACAACGGGGGGGGAUUGUACACUACUUAGAAUGGCCGAAUACAAACUAUGAUGAAUGAUGUGGUCAAAAGGUAGGACACACCCACUCAUUCAAGGGUUUUUCUUUAUUUUGUACUAUUUUCUACAUUGUUUAUCCUUUUAAGCAUGGAAAAAAUACCAUUUCAGACAGAUGUUUCAAAUCCUUAACCCCGACUUGGACCACACACCCUCUCCACUGAAUAACAGACAGGUGUUUCAAAUCCUUAACCCGACUUGGACCACACACCCUCUCCACUGAAUAACAGACAGGUGUUUCAAAUCCUUAACCCGACUUGGACCACACACCCUCUCCACUGAAUAACAGACAGGUGUUUCAAAUCCUUAACCCCGACUUGGACCACACACCCUCUCCACUGAAUAACAGACAGGUGUUUCAAAUCCUUAACCCCGACUUGGACCACACACCCUCUCCACUGAAUAACAGACAGGUGUUUCAAAUCCUUAACCCCGACUUGGACCACACACCCUCUCCACUGAAUAACAGACAGGUGUUUCAAAUCCUUAACCCCGACUUGGACCACACACCCUCUCCACUGAAUAACAGACAGGUGUUUCAAAUCCUUAACCCCGACUUGGACCACACACCCUCUCCACUGAAUAACAGACAGGUGUUUCAAAUCCAUAACCCGACUUGGACCACACACCCUCUCCACUGAAUAACAGACAGGUGUUUCAAAUCCUUAACCCGACUUGGACCACACACCCUCUCCACUGAAUAACAGACAGGUGUUUCAAAUCCAUAACCCCGACUUGGACCACACACCCUCUCCACUGAAUAACAGACAGGUGUUUCAAAUCCAUAACCCGACUUGGACCACACACCCUCUCCACUGAAUAACAGACAGGUGUUUCAAAUCCUUAACCCGACUUGGACCACACACCCUCUCCACUGAAUAACAGACAGGUGUUUCAAAUCCUUAACCCGACUUGGACCACACACCCUCUCCACUGAAUAACAGACAGGUGUUUCAAAUCCUUAACCCGACUUGGACCACACACCCUCUCCACUGAAUAACAGACAGGUGUUUCAAAUCCUUAACCCGACUUGGACCACACACCCUCUCCACUGAAUAACAGACAGGUGUUUCAAAUCCAUAACCCGACUUGGACCACACACCCUCUCCACUGAAUAACAGACAGGUGUUUCAAAUCCUUAACCCGACUUGGACCACACACCCUCUCCACUGAAUAACAGACAGGUGUUUCAAAUCCUUAACCCCGACUUGGACCACACACCCUCUCCACUGAAUAACAGACAGGUGUUUCAAAUCCAUAACCCGACUUGGACCACACACCCUCUCCACUGAAUAACAGACAGGUGUUUCAAAUCCUUAACCCGACUUGGACCACACACCCUCUCCACUGAAUAGCAGACAGGUGUUUCAAAUCCUUAACCCGACUUGUACCACACACCCUCUCCACUGAAUAACAGACAGGUGUUUCAAAUCCUUAACCCGACUUGGACCACACACCCUCUCCACUGAAUAACAGACAGGUGUUUCAAAUCCUUAAUCCGACUUGGACCACACACCCUCUCCACUGAAUAACAGACAGGUGUUUCAAAUCCUUAACCCGACUUGGACCACACACCCUCUCCACUGAAUAGCAGACAGGUGUUUCAAAUCCUUAACCCGACUUGUACCACACACCCUCUCCACUGAAUAACAGACAGGUGUUUCAAAUCCUUAACCCCGACUUGGACCACACAUCCUCUCCACUGAAUAGCAGGCAGGGGAAGCAAAAUGGUGGUUGCUUUGCAACGCUUGCAGUUAUCCACCGAUUCCUUCCAAAACACCCAUUGUUGAGUUUGUAAUUUCCGACUUGUUGAGUAAUGUUUAUGUCCAAUGGCCGAUGCGCAAGAAUAUCUUUAAUUUAUCAUUUCUCUUCAUCUGACAAGGAUUGAAAAGGAUUUGCUAGUAGAUUGUCGACGUGAUUCACGAUGACUGCUUGUCUAGCUUGCUAGCUAAGAUUUUGAAAGUAACAUCAGUCCAAUCAAAGCUGGGGUAGAUAUAACGUUAUUUGACAUUUUAUCUGUGGCCAAUGACCUUGAGCCUUCUUGGAUGGGCACUUCUAAUGUAAAUCUAUGGCAGCACCCAAGGGGACUUGAACUGCUUGGCUCUCUCUUUAACGAUUCUGCGGUGACGUAGUGUCCCCAUGAGUGACAGAACACUGAGCCAAUCACGGUGCCACUAGACAAGAUUACCAACACCUAUUCCACUGGCUGUCCCUCCACCACAGAAAGCACUGUGCUAGGCCGAAACACCUGCGUUUUGGAGCUGCCUUACUCAAGAGAGAGCAUGUUCGUACUACAGUUUCUUCUUUUACAUUGUUUGCAAACUGAUAUGUGACAUGAAUUAAUAUGAAAAUAACAUGCAAAACAGGCACAACAAAAUAAUAAUUUUUGGGGCUCAAAAACCCCACCUGCCCUGAAUGACGGGUCACCACUGGUCCUAAUACUCCUGAAGUGGCUUCCUUUUCUGGUGUCCUUGCCUUCACCACAGCCGAGAGGUGAGGGGUCUCUUUAGGGUUUCACCAUAGUGCUGGCACCUGACAGGUCAAGUCAUUAGUGUUUGUGAAGGAAAGACGAAAAUGAAGACAGGAAGCUAGUGUAUUUUAUUGGGACAUGGCUAGCCAGAUGCUGGAAUGGGAGCUAGCCACCGGCCUCUUAACUUCAUGCUAGAUGGGGACUGUGUGUGUGUACAGACCAAAGUUAAAAUAUAUUUCUUAUCUUUCAUAUACUUAGUGUUGCACUUCAUUGAACUUGUCUGGUGCAAUAGAACCAAUGGAAUAGUCACAAAAGUGCAACCCUUCCCAUCUGGCACCCAAAGCAGGUUAAAGGAAGUACCUGCUACUACACGUGUUGAUACGCACUUCAAAGGAUCUUAUAACGGUUUGUUUUUUAUCACCAUGAUGUUUUUAUAACUGCCUUUGUAUUUAUAUUGAUGCGUGUAUUUUCUGUAAUUCAGGUCUUAUCUGUAAAGGAGACCAUGGUCUCAGUAUGACUCUGAUCAAAUGAAGGUUAAAUACACAUGAAUACACUUGGACCUGAGUGAAUAGUUGUUAUGUCUGACCUAUUGAAAAAAAAGUGAAAGACUAAAGUUACAUACAUGAGAUGCUUUAGUGAAUUUCAGAAUGUCUGGAAUAGAAAAGGCAGAAAUAAAACAAUUCAAAUCAUCUCAGGCAAACGCAAUGAUGAAUACAUGUCUAGAGGUGGGUUAUGCCAGGCAAUGCCAAUGGUCUGAGCAAUUUCAACUGUGCCCUCUAGUGACGACAGCCAUCUGUUACAUGGCUAUCCAGAAAGGUGUUCUAGCAGUUUCCACAGAACUCCUGUCUACAGAGGAUGGAUAUAUCCCAUUUGGCGGAUGGAUAUCCCAUUUGGCGGAUGGAUAUCCCAUUUGGCGGAUGGAUAUCCCAUUUGGCGGAUGGAUACCCCAUUUGGCGGAUGGAUACCCCCAUUUGGCGGAUGGAUACCCCAUUUGGCGGAUGGAUAUCCCAUUUGGCGGAUGGAUAUCCCAUUUGGCGGAUGGAUAUCCCAUUUGGCGGAUGGAUACCCCAUUUGGCGGAUGGAUACCCCAUUUGGCGGAUGGAUACCCCAUUUGGCGGAUGGAUAUCCCCCAUUUGGCGGAUGGAUAUCCCAUUUGGCGGAUGGAUAUCCCAUUUGGCGGAUGGAUACCCCAUUUGGCGGAUGGAUACCCCAUUUGGCGGAUGGAUAUCCCAUUUGGUGGAUGGAUACCCCAUUUGGCGGAUGGAUAUCCCAUUUGGCGGAUGGAUAUCCCAUUUGGCGGAUGGAUAUCCCAUUUGGUGGAUGGAUAUCCCAUUUGGCGGAUGGAUACCCCAUUUGUCUUCCAGGCGAAAAUAACACAGCAAGGAAACAGAAGCAGAACAAACACAGUAAUAAAAACCCUAAAUACAUCUUCUGUUCUAAUGAUCAUUAUCUCAGUCAUCCUUCCUCCCACCCUUUGUCCAACAGCGAUCCUAGAGUUGUAAUAGGUCAUUAUGUUUUGUCCCUGUUGGGAUAUGUUACCACAACACUAGUUCACAGGUUCACAGACUACAGUACAUGGUCUAUUACAGAUUAUAAACUGGGUGGUUCGAGCCCUGAAUGCUGAUUGGCUGAUAGCCGUGGUAUAUCAGACCAUAUACCAAGGGUAUUAAAAAAACAUUUAUUUACUGCUCUAAUUACAUUGGUAACCAGUGUUUAAUAGCAAUAAGGUACUUUGGGGGUUUGCGGUACAUGGCUAACAUACCAGGGCUAAGGGCUGAAUCCAGGCACUCUGUGUUGCGUUGUGCUUAAGAACAGCCCUUAGCCGUGUUACUUUGGCCAUAUACAACACACCCCGUGCCUUAUUGCUUAAACAUAUCAUCCCUCAAAUGAGUUCACCAAAGUGUGUCUUUAUAGCUGACCGGCAACAUAGUUCACUGACUAGAGGUUAUAUAGUUGAUUGGCCCCAUACAGACAAGACAAUAAAGACGUCAUUUUGAUUUUAUUUUGGGGAUGUGGCAACAUAACUUUCAGGAAGGUGUUAUUGUCAUACAAAUACAUACCAGAGAGACCAGGGAUGUUCUGGUACAGAGAGACCAGCGGUGUCCUGGUACAGAGAGACCAGGGGUGUCCUGGUACAGAGAGACCAGAGGUGUCCUGGUACAGAGAGAACAGGGGUGUCCUGGUACAGAGAGACCAGGGGUGUCCGGAUGCAGAGAGACCAGAGGUGUCUUGGUACAGAGAGACCAGGGGUGUCUUGGUACAGAGAGAACAGGGGUGUCCGGAUGCAGAGAGACCAGGGAUGUCCUGGUACAGAGAGACCAGGGAUGUCCUGGUACAGAGAGACCAAGGGUGUUCGGAUACAGAGAGUCCAGGGGUAGGUCCCAAAUAGGACCCUAUUCUCUAUAUGGUACACUACAUGUAUUUUAGGGCUCUGGUCAAAAGUAGGACACUAUUUUGGGAAUAGGGUGCCAUUUGGAAUGCAAAAAAGGUAAUUUGACAAUGAACUCAAGUCAUCGAGGGCGACCGCAAAACGACAUGGAUCAGAAUCAUAUCAGCGGUAUCGUCUGUAUAAAUCAACACUGAAAAGUGAGGGAAAAUAAAACAAUGGAGCAAGAAAAAAAUGUGCCACAUAGAAAACAAAAAACAGAAAGUGAGUUUCAUUAUAAUGCAACACAAUGAACAAUGACAAGGAAGAGGAGCCAUGUUGUUCCCUGGUUUUGGUGCCUUGUGAAGAGAGAGAGAGGAGAGAAAGAAAGAAAGAAAGAAAGAAAGAAAGAAAGAAAGAAAGAAAGAAAGAAAGAGAGGAAAUAUGGAGAGAUGACUCAGAGAGAUAACCUCCUCUCUCCAAGUGGCAGGAAUCAGCUUCCAGAAUUCCCACGGCAGCGUAACCACAGCAACGCUGGGAGGGGCCAAGCAGGACUCUUCUCUAAGGCUUGAUAUGGCACGACCACUCCAAAACACUGGCUAUUGCUCGCCCUUACACUUCUACUGUACCCCUACCUACUCUCUCACUGUCCCCACCCCUCCC